rnacentral:rRNA from 1 species
AUUGAACGCUGGCGGCAUGCUUUACACAUGCAGGUCGAACGGUAACAGGCCUUCGGGUGCUGCCGAGUGGCGAACGGGUGAGUAAUGCAUCGGAACGUGCCCAGAGGUGGGGGAUAACGCAGCGAAAGCUGUGCUAAUACCGCAUGUGAUCUGAGGAUGAAAGCGGGGGACCAGGCAGCAAUGUUUGGCCUCGCGCCUUUGGAGCGGCCGAUGUCAGAUUAGGUAGUUGGUGGGGUAAAGGCCUACCAAGCCGACGAUCUGUAGCUGGUCUGAGAGGACGACCAGCCACACUGGGACUGAGACACGGCCCAGACUCCUACGGGAGGCAGCAGUGGGGAAUUUUGGACAAUGGGCGCAAGCCUGAUCCAGCAAUGCCGCGUGCGGGAAGAAGGCCUUCGGGUUGUAAACCGCUUUUGUACGGAACGAAAAGGCUCUGGCUAAUACCUGGGGCUGAUGACGGUACCGUAAGAAUAAGCACCGGCUAACUACGUG